GGGUUUGAUUAUGGCUCAGGACGAACGCUUGCGGCGUGCCUAAGAAAUGCAAGUCGAACGAGGACUUCGGUCCUAGUGGCGAACGGUCGCGUAACACGUAAGCAACCUGCCCUGAAGUGGGGGACAACAUCCCGAAAGGGGUGCUAAUACCGCAUGUGGUCACGAGUCGGCAUCGGCUUGUGUCUAAAGAUUUAUCGCUUCAGGAUGGGCUUGCGGCCUAUCAGGUAGUUGGUGGGGUAAUGGCCUACCAAGCCGACGACGGGUAGCUGGUCUGAGAGGGCGAUCAGCCGGAUUGGGACUGAGAUACGGCCCAGACUCCUACGGGGGGCAGCAAUUAGGAAUCUUGCGCAAUGGGGGAAACCCUGACGCAGCGACGUCGCGUGAAGGAUGAAGGCCCUCGGGUCGUAAACUUCUUUUGAGUGGGAAGAAAUUUGACGGUACCACUCGAAUAAGCCCCGGCUAACUACGUGC
rnacentral:rRNA from 1 species